AUUGAACGCUGGCGGCAUGCCUUACACAUGCAAGUCGAACGGCAGCACGGGUGCUUGCACCUGGUGGCGAGUGGCGAACGGGUGAGUAAUACAUCGGAACAUGUCCUGUAGUGGGGGAUAGCCCGGCGAAAGCCGGAUUAAUACCGCAUACGAUCUACGGAUGAAAGCGGGGGACCUUCGGGCCUCGCGCUGUAGGGUUGGCCGAUGGCUGAUUAGCUAGUUGGUGGGGUAAAGGCCUACCAAGGCGACGAUCAGUAGCUGGUCUGAGAGGACGACCAGCCACACUGGGACUGAGCCACGGCCCAGACUCCUACGGGAGGCAGCAGUGGGGAAUUUUGGACAAUGGGCGAAAGCCUGAUCCAGCAAUGCCGCGUGUGUGAAGAAGGCCUUCGGGUUGUAAAGCACUUUUGUCCGGAAAGAAAUCCUUGGCCCUAAUACGGUCGGGGGAUGACGGUACCGGAAGAAUAAGCACCGGCUAACUACGUG
rnacentral:rRNA from 1 species